GGAGCAUCUAGUGAGCUGAGCUGAGCCGCCUCAUGACCAGCGCCUCUGACAGGGAGCAUGGCCUGUCAUUCCAAGAACUAGAACUCGAUUUCUGCUUCAUUAUUUGUUUGUAGUUCGGAUCAAAAGCGCACUCAAGCUUGGUGCUCCAGAACAAGCUAUGCCUGUAUCCUCAAUGCAGGCUACGUGGCCAAGCCGUCCAUGCGAAGACAGUGACUGCACUACCUCGUGUUGGAGCUUCCACACCUCAGCGUGUCUACUUUCUCUUCAAGGUCCUGUGCAGCGGGACAAAGGCCGGGCACCCUUGGUUAUCAGGGGAGAGUGACCUCACGGGGCGUUCGAAGCUCCCUUUCUAACCUUGGGGCCCUGGGCGCCGACUGUCCUCUCCUGCUGGAGGCCACGCGCGGGGCCGUGUGGAGAAGGACCAGCGGGAAGAGCAGAAGAAGGUGAUGUCUCCCCCAGCAGGAGGUGGAAAUAGGAUGGAACUGGUAUGGGAAACGAACAGACGGGGGCCCGUCCCCACCUGCACCUUCUGUGACUUCAGCAAGACUUUCUUUUUCCCUCCCUUGAAGCCUCCUUCUUUUCUAAGCGGGGGAGGGGGCCGUCAAGGGAAGACGUAGAACACUGGACAGGUAGAGACCUCUGCGUGGGUGCUGGCUCUGCCAUUGCCGGCAGUGACCUGAACAAGUCACAUA